rnacentral:rRNA from 1 species
GAUUGAACGCUGGCGGCAUGGCUAAAACAUGCAAGUCGAACGAUUAAAGCCCCUUCGGGGUGUGUAUAAAGUGGCGAACGGGCGAGUAAUGCGUUUCUAACGUGCCCCGAGGUCGGGGAUAGCUGGGGGAAACCCCAGGUAAUACCCGAUGACCCCAUCGGAUCGCAUGGUCUGAUGGGCAAAGGCUUGCUGCCUCGGGAUCGGGAAACGUCCUAUCAGGUUGUUGGUGAGGUAACGGCUCACCAAGCCAGAGACGGGUAGCGGGUGUGAGAGCACGACCCGCCGCAUCGGGACUGAGACACUGCCCGGACUCCUACGGGAGGCUGCAGUAACGGAUAUUGGGCAAUGAGCGCAAGCUUGACCCAGCAAUGCCGCGUGCAGGAUGAAGCCCCUCGGGGUGUAAACUGCUGUCAGGGUUUAGGAAGCAAGUGACCAAACCCAAAGGAAGGGCCGGCUAACUUCGUGCCAGCAGCCGCGGUAAUACGAAGGGCCCGAGCGUUAAUCGGAAUCACUGGGCUUAAAGGGUGCGUAGGCGGAAACGUCAGUGUCUUGUGAAAUCCCACGGCUCAACCGUGGAACUGCAGGGCAUACUGCGUUUCUUGAGGCCGGUAGAGGUCGUCGGAACUCUAGGUGUAGCGGUGAAAUGCGUAGAUNUCUAGAGGAACGCCAAAGGUGAAGACAGGCGACUGGGCCGGUUCUGACGCUGAGGCACGAAAGCGUGGGGAGCAAACAGGAUUAGAUACCCUGGUAGUCCACGCCGUAAACGUUGUGCACUAGAUCCGGGAGGUUUUGACGCCGUCCGGGUCGAAGAGAAAUUGAUAAGUGCACCGCCUGGGGAGUACGGUCGCAAGGCUAAAACUCAAAGGAAUUGACGGGGGCUCACACAAGCGGU